rfam:Phytophthora infestans T30-4 supercont1.26 genomic scaffold, whole genome shotgun sequence.
CCGAGUGUAGCUCAGUUGGUAGAGCGAUUGACUGUAGUGUUCUAUACUGUGUUUCAGUAUUCUAAUUGGUCGCUGGUUCGAUUCCGGCCACUCGGA